UUCUCUAGUGCCACAGUGCCAUAAGUGCCAUGGUGCCAAUAGAACCGUAUACUUCUUAAUUUUCCUCCCUCUUGGGGCUGUUAAGGGUGUAUGGGUGUGUGUGUAUGGCUUUGUAUAGUGUAUGUGUGUGUGUGUGUGUGUAUGAGUAGGGUGCCUUGUAUAGUGCCAGUGGUCUCAAAAUGUAAAAUCGGGUUUGCAGACAUUGCUUGCGUUGGAGACUGUACAAUAUUUCCCUUCGCUGUUUUAGAGGUGCUGGUGGUUCGUGUAUGGGUGUGUGCAGGUGUGUAUGGGCUGUAUAAGGUGUGUGAGUGCGUACAGUGCCACAUAGAGCCUUACAGUGCCAGACCAGGGGAGUGAAACAAAUCUGGCAUCUUCCUAGCUGACGUCAUGGCGCGCGCAGCUACUCGGUUUCAUUUCAGUGAUCGAAAAGUGUAAUAGCGAAUCUUGUCUCCCAGCCUGCAGCCUGCCCUAGCCUGACCCGCCAGACAUGUGCCCCAGGCCUUCCCCUAGCCUGUAGAGCCAUGUAAGCCUGCAGGUCAAGGUCAGGUUAAACGCAACAGGCCGUAACGUGAAAGAUGAAGAGAUUUACGAAGACUGUGUUUGAUGGGCUCAGGUCCUCCGUGCAGGCCACCAACAAGCAAGAGGUUGAGGAAAUACAAAUUUUUGAGACUCUGCAAGCUGAUGCCUUCCAGAUCGCGAAGACGGUGCGCCAUGGGUUCCCGUACCAGCCCACAGCGAUCGCCUUUGACCCAAUCCAGCGAAUAUUGGCAGUCGGGACAAAACAAGGCUCAAUUAGAAUCAUAGGCAGGCCAGGCGUGGACGUCCACCUGCGGCAUGAAGGCAUGACGCCGCUGUUGUAGCUCUGUCCUUCCUCAUAAACGAUGGAGCGCUCGUUUCCGCGACUGGGGACGACACCCUACACAUGUGGUCGUUGCGGCAGAAAACGCCACAGAUUUUGCAUUCUCUCAAGUUCCAGAGGGAGAGGAUCACCACUUUACAUGUCCCGUUCCAAAGCAAGUGGCUGUAUUUGGGGACUGAGCGAGGCAACAUUCAUAUCGUUAAAAUUGUGACCUUUGAACUGAGUGGUUAUUGUAUAAACUGGAAUAAGGCCAUUGAAUUGUCACGCAAGACACACCCUGGCGCAGUGGUCCAUCUUAGUGAAAACCCUGUCGACCCUGGCAAGCUGCUGAUUGGCUAUGAAAGUGGGCAACUGGUUCUGUGGGAUUUCAAGGCUUGCUGUGCUGAUGUCAGAUAUCAGGCCACUGAACCCCUAAGGUCAGUGUCUUGGCACCAUGAAGGAAAGCAGUUUAUGUGUUGUCAUACUGAUGGUUCGCUCACAACCUGGACUCUGAAGCAAGCCUCAGCCAGACCCACCUCCACUGUCUUCCCUCACGGAUUUGAUAUCAAAGCUGGUGCAGGAAAAGGAAGCAGAUCGUGACCUUGAGCAGCUCGGGAAGAUAAGCAGCGUCCUUAAGAGUCCAGUUGCUAUCAUUAGCAGUUUUGGAACCAGUGAGUCUGAGACACCCACCAGCAGUGGAAAGGUGGCUGACGAGCGCCUCAAGCACUCUGAAAAGGUGGAGCAACAACAAGAAACAGAAAAUUGCAUCCAUCAUUCUUUGCCUGAGGAGGGAAUUGAUGCUGUGUUGACCCUUGACAGUGACGUCCCUCAUGAGGAGAAUAUGAAUCCUACAGAACUUGCCCAUAGAAAGACCAAAACUGUUACUGCUGCCACUACCACCACUGCCACCGCUUCCACUGCCACCAAAAGCCCAACUGUGCAGAGAAUCCUGGACCUCCGCAAUGAAAUGGAGUCCACCAGUCAGCUGGAGCACUUUAGCCUCCAAAAGUUCCAUCCGUGUCCAUUGUGUUUGGGUAAACUUAUCACUGUAUGAGGGGACAAGUAUCAGUGUAUGGUUACUAUAUACUCAUUUGUACUUAAAGAUGUCAUGUCACAUCAUUCUCUCUCUCUCUCUCUCUCUCUCUCUCUCUCUCUCUCUCUCUCUCUCUCUCUCUCUCUCUCUCUCUCUCUCUCUCUCUCUCUCUCUCUCUCUCUCUCUCUCUCUCUCUCUCUCUCUCUCUCUCUCUCUUUCUUUCUUUCUUUCUUUCUUUCUUUCUUUUGUUGCAUAUUUUACUCCUUUACAUUCUUCCCUACAGUAUUUUUUCGUCUACUUUAUGACUGGAGUCGUUUUAUCAUCCCAAUGUAUGUCCCAUCCAUUCUGAAACUGUAAUUCACCAAUCAGCUCAAAUGUGUCUCAGUUUUGAUAAUCAUUAAUUUGUUUCAGCUACACAACCACUCUGAUAAGGGACAAAAUCUACUUCACCAGUCAUCUAUGUCAUACAGUCAUAUAUAUUCAUACAUAUGACAAAAUACUCUUCCUAAGACAUUUCUUAUUUUCUCUUCUCAAGUGACCUGUCCAUCUAUCUAAGGUACCACAUAACAUUUAAAACUUACAAUAUUGCAUUUAAUUCAUGAACAUUUUUUUGUCUAUGUAGACUUGAA